rnacentral:rRNA from 1 species
GGGUUGUGAGGUUAAGCGACUAAGCGUACACGGUGGAUGCCCUGGCAGUCAGAGGCGAUGAAGGACGUGCUAAUCUGCGAUAAGCGUCGGUAAGGUGAUAUGAACCGUUAUAACCGGCGAUUUCCGAAUGGGGAAACCCAGUGUGAUUCGUCACACUAUCAUUAACUGAAUCCAUAGGUUAAUGAGGCGAACCGGGGGAACUGAAACAUCUAAGUACCCCGAGGAAAAGAAAUCAACCGAGAUUCCCCCAGUAGCGGCGAGCGAACGGGGAGCAGCCCAGAGCCUGAAUCAGUGUGUGUGUUAGUGGAAGCGUCUGGAAAGGCGCGCGAUACAGGGUGACAGCCCCGUACACAAAAAUGCACAUGCUGUGAGCUCGAUGAGUAGGGCGGGACACGUGGUAUCCUGUCUGAAUAUGGGGGGACCAUCCUCCAAGGCUAAAUACUCCUGACUGACCGAUAGUGAACCAGUACCGUGAGGGAAAGGCGAAAAGAACCCCGGCGAGGGGAGUGAAAAAGAACCUGAAACCGUGUACGUACAAGCAGUGGGAGCACGCUUAGGCGUGUGACUGCGUACCUUUUGUAUAAUGGGUCAGCGACUUAUAUUCUGUAGCAAGGUUAACCGAAUAGGGGAGCCGAAGGGAAACCGAGUCUUAACUGGGCGUUAAGUUGCAGGGUAUAGACCCGAAACCCGGUGAUCUAGCCAUGGGCAGGUUGAAGGUUGGGUAACACUAACUGGAGGACCGAACCGACUAAUGUUGAAAAAUUAGCGGAUGACUUGUGGCUGGGGGUGAAAGGCCAAUCAAACCGGGAGAUAGCUGGUUCUCCCCGAAAGCUAUUUAGGUAGCGCCUCGUGAAUUCAUCUCCGGGGGUAGAGCACUGUUUCGGCAAGGGGGUCAUCCCGACUUACCAACCCGAUGCAAACUGCGAAUAUCGGAGAAUGUUAUCACGGGAGACACACGGCGGGUGCUAACGUCCGUCGUGAAGAGGGAAACAACCCAGACCGCCAGCUAAGGUCCCAAAGUCAUGGUUAAGUGGGAAACGAUGUGGGAAGGCCCAGACAGCCAGGAUGUUGGCUUAGAAGCAGCCAUCAUUUAAAGAAAGCGUAAUAGCUCACUGGUCGAGUCGGCCUGCGCGGAAGAUGUAACGGGGCUAAACCAUGCACCGAAGCUGCGGCAGCGACACUGUGUGUUGUUGGGUAGGGGAGCGUUCUGUAAGCCUGCGAAGGUGUGCUGUGAGGCAUGCUGGAGGUAUCAGAAGUGCGAAUGCUGACAUAAGUAACGAUAAAGCGGGUGAAAAGCCCGCUCGCCGGAAGACCAAGGGUUCCUGUCCAACGUUAAUCGGGGCAGGGUGAGUCGACCCCUAAGGCGAGGCCGAAAGGCGUAGUCGAUGGGAAACAGGUUAAUAUUCCUGUACUUGGUGUUACUGCGAAGGGGGGACGGAGAAGGCUAUGUUGGCCGGGCGACGGUUGUCCCGGUUUAAGCGUGUAGGCUGGUUUUCCAGGCAAAUCCGGAAAAUCAAGGCUGAGGCGUGAUGACGAGGCACUACGGUGCUGAAGCAACAAAUGCCCUGCUUCCAGGAAAAGCCUCUAAGCAUCAGGUAACAUCAAAUCGUACCCCAAACCGACACAGGUGGUCAGGUAGAGAAUACCAAGGCGCUUGAGAGAACUCGGGUGAAGGAACUAGGCAAAAUGGUGCCGUAACUUCGGGAGAAGGCACGCUGAUACGUAGGUGAAGUCCCUCGCGGAUGGAGCUGAAAUCAGUCGAAGAUACCAGCUGGCUGCAACUGUUUAUUAAAAACACAGCACUGUGCAAACACGAAAGUGGACGUAUACGGUGUGACGCCUGCCCGGUGCCGGAAGGUUAAUUGAUGGGGUCAGCGCAAGCGAAGCUCUUGAUCGAAGCCCCGGUAAACGGCGGCCGUAACUAUAACGGUCCUAAGGUAGCGAAAUUCCUUGUCGGGUAAGUUCCGACCUGCACGAAUGGCGUAAUGAUGGCCAGGCUGUCUCCACCCGAGACUCAGUGAAAUUGAACUCGCUGUGAAGAUGCAGUGUACCCGCGGCAAGACGGAAAGACCCCGUGAACCUUUACUAUAGCUUGACACUGAACAUUGAGCCUUGAUGUGUAGGAUAGGUGGGAGGCUUUGAAGUGUGGACGCCAGUCUGCAUGGAGCCGACCUUGAAAUACCACCCUUUAAUGUUUGAUGUUCUAACGUUGACCCGUAAUCCGGGUUGCGGACAGUGUCUGGUGGGUAGUUUGACUGGGGCGGUCUCCUCCUAAAGAGUAACGGAGGAGCACGAAGGUUGGCUAAUCCUGGUCGGACAUCAGGAGGUUAGUGCAAUGGCAUAAGCCAGCUUGACUGCGAGCGUGACGGCGCGAGCAGGUGCGAAAGCAGGUCAUAGUGAUCCGGUGGUUCUGAAUGGAAGGGCCAUCGCUCAACGGAUAAAAGGUACUCCGGGGAUAACAGGCUGAUACCGCCCAAGAGUUCAUAUCGACGGCGGUGUUUGGCACCUCGAUGUCGGCUCAUCACAUCCUGGGGCUGAAGUAGGUCCCAAGGGUAUGGCUGUUCGCCAUUUAAAGUGGUACGCGAGCUGGGUUUAGAACGUCGUGAGACAGUUCGGUCCCUAUCUGCCGUGGGCGCUGGAGAAUUGAGGGGGGCUGCUCCUAGUACGAGAGGACCGGAGUGGACGCAUCACUGGUGUUCGGGUUGUCAUGCCAAUGGCACUGCCCGGUAGCUAAAUGCGGAAGAGAUAAGUGCUGAAAGCAUCUAAGCACGAAACUUGCCCCGAGAUGAGUUCUCCCUGACUCCUUGAGAGUCCUGAAGGAACGUUGAAGACGACGACGUUGAUAGGCCGGGUGUGUAAGCGCAGCGAUGCGUUGAGCUAACCGGUACUAAUGAACCGUGAGGCUUAACCUUACAACGCCGAAGGUGUUU